AAUAAUGGUUCAUGUGAGAGAAAUAACAUGAUAUCAUCCUGAAAUAAUAUAAGCGGGGGGGGGGGGACGAGGUUGGUAGCCAUAAGUCAUUCGCUCGUUUCAAAGACUUCUUUCCCAGUGGCAUCCGCAGAAUAUGGCUACUACUACCUAAACUUGGCCAGAUUGGAGGUUGCUAGCGGGGAAGUUUUGGUUAUUAUUCAAUCUCGUUUUGGCCGGUUAUGGAGAUACAGACAAGGAAAGUGGCAUUCACUGGCGUGUGUUCUAGGAAAGAAGAGGUCAAGAGAUGCCAGACAACAGCGAGCACGGCGUGCAACGCACCCGUCGGGACAGGCUACCGGAGCGGUGUUCAUGACCACUCAUGCAGCUUGGGAGAGACGCCCGCAUUAAUGUACAACAAGUUGCCUGAAGCCCAGUUUGCAGGUUUGUGAGUUAUUAUGGGAUGAUUUAGAUGCCUGCUUUAUGCAUGGGGAUCAUACAUUGAAGAGGAGAGCGGUGAUGAAAACAUGCACUGUUUACCUGCACAUUUUCACGCCAUGAGACAAGCUUAUUUUAGGAUGCUAUUUGUAGUGUAUUCAAAACUUGAGCUCAAUGUGGUUCCUUGGUGUUGGCUUCUAUUAAGUGAGCUGCUUAUAUGUAGUACAUUUAUUGCAACAAUCCAAAUAUAUAUCAUUGAUUUGCAUGUCUCUA